rnacentral:rRNA from 1 species
CUCGUCACACUAUCAUUAACUGAAUCCAUAGGUUAAUGAGGCGAACCGGGGGAACUGAAACAUCUAAGUACCCCGAGGAAAAGAAAUCAACCGAGAUUCCCCCAGUAGCGGCGAGCGAACGGGGAGGAGCCCAGAGCCUGAAUCAGCAUGUGUGUUAGUGGAAGCGUCUGGAAAGGCGCGCGAUACAGGGUGACAGCCCCGUACACAAAAGCGCAUGUGCUGUGAGCUCGAUGAGUAGGGCGGGACACGUGGUAUCCUGUCUGAAUAUGGGGGGACCAUCCUCCAAGGCUAAAUACUCCUGACUGACCGAUAGUGAACCAGUACCGUGAGGGAAAGGCGAAAAGAACCCCGGCGAGGGGAGUGAAAAAGAACCUGAAACCGUGUACGUACAAGCAGUGGGAGCACAGGUUUACCUGUGUGACUGCGUACCUUUUGUAUAAUGGGUCAGCGACUUAUAUUCUGUAGCAAGGUUAACCGAAUAGGGGAGCCGGAGGGAAACCGAGUCUUAAUUGGGCGUUAAGUUGCAGGGUAUAGACCCGAAACCCGGUGAUCUAGCCAUGGGCAGGUUGAAGGUUGGGUAACACUAACUGGAGGACCGAACCGACUAAUGUUGAAAAAUUAGCGGAUGACCUGUGGCUGGGGGUGAAAGGCCAAUCAAACCGGGAGAUAGCUGGUUCUCCCCGAAAGCUAUUUAGGUAGCGCCUCGUGAAUUCAUCUCCGGGGGUAGAGCACUGUUUCGGCUAGGGGGCCAUCCCGGCUUACCAACCCGAUGCAAACUGCGAAUACCGGAGAAUGUUAUCACGGGAGACACACGGCGGGUGCUAACGUCCGUCGUGAAGAGGGAAACAACCCAGACCGCCAGCUAAGGUCCCAAAGUCAUGGUUAAGUGGGAAACGAUGUGGGAAGGCCCAGACAGCCAGGAUGUUGGCUUAGAAGCAGCCAUCAUUUAAAGAAAGCGUAAUAGCUCACUGGUCGAGUCGGCCUGCGCGGAAGAUGUAACGGGGCUAAACCAUG